CCUACGGGUGGCAGCAGUGAGGAAUAUUGGUCAAUGGGCGCGAGCCUGAACCAGCCAAGUAGCGUGAAGGAUGACUGCCCUACGGGUUGUAAACUUCUUUUAUAAAGGAAUAAAGUGAGGCACGUGUGCCUUUUUGUAAGUACUUUAUGAAUAAGGAUCGGCUAACUCCGUGCCAGCAGCCGCGGUAAUACGGAGGAUACGAGCGUUAUCCGGAUUUAUUGGGUUUAAAGGGAGCGUAGAUGGGUUGUUAAGUCAGUGGUGAAAGUUUGGGGCUCAACCGUAAAAUUGCAAUUGAUACUGGCAGCCUUGAGUACAGGUGAGGUAGGCGGAAUGCGUGGUGUAGCGGUGAAAUGCUUAGAUAUCACGAAGAACUCCGAUUGCGAAGGCAGCUUACUAAACUGCCACUGACAUUGAUGCUCGAAAGUGUGGGUAUCAAACAGGAUUAGAUACCCCUGUAGUC
rnacentral:rRNA from 1 species